UACGUAGGGGGCAAGCGUUAUCCGGAUUUACUGGGUGUAAAGGGAGCGUAGACGGCAUGGCAAGUCAGAAGUGAAAGCCCGGGGCCCAACCCCGGGACUGCUUUUGAAACUGCCAGGCUGGAGUGCAGGAGAGGUAAGUGGAAUUCCUAGUGUAGCGGUGAAAUGCGUAGAUAUUAGGAGGAACACCAGUGGCGAAGGCGGCUUACUGGACUGUAACUGACGUUGAGGCUCGAAAGCGUGGGGAGCAAACAGG
rnacentral:rRNA from 1 species